UGUUCCUGCCCUCGAGCUAACAGUCUAGUACGUCUUGUCCCUACUAGACUGAAGCUCCUUGAGGACAGGGACU
rnacentral:pre_miRNA from 12 species